rnacentral:rRNA from 1 species
CAAUAGCGUAUAUUAAAGUUGUUGCGGUUAAAAAGCUCGUAGUUGGAUUUCUGCUGAGAACGACCGGUCCGCCCUCUGGGUGUGUAUCUGGCUCUUUCUUGGCAUCUUCUUGGUGAACGUUGCUGCACUUGACUGUGUGGAGCGCUACCCAGGACUUUUACUUUGAGGAAAUUAGAGUGUUUCAAGCAGGCAUACGCCUUGAAUACAUUAGCAUGGAAUAAUAAGAUAGGACCUCGGUUCUAUUUUGUUGGUUUCUAGAGCUGAGGUAAUGAUUAAUAGGGAUAGUUGGGGGCACCUGUAUUGCGUUGUCAGAGGUGAAAUUCUUGGAUUUACGCAAGACAAACAGCUGCGAAAGCGUCUGCCAAGGAUGUUUUCAUUAA